CCGGGGCGCUCGGCAUGCCACACAUACCCUCCGACCCUAUCUGUCAAUCCCCGUCCUGCCAUGACAUCACAGCCGACCCGUUCUAAGAAUGAGAACUUCCCAGGCUUGGCUAUAGUUGGGUUUAGGUUUGAUGGACGAUAUCCGGGUGUCUGCAGAGACCUGUCCCUUCACCUGCAGGUUCACAGGUUUGAUCCCCUGCAGCAGCCAGUGAGUCCAUAUCUGUCACGGUGUCAUUGAACAUUCAUGCAGUCAGAGGACACCGCUGAACACGUGCGCUUCUACCUCUCAAACAGACACCCUGCUGAUGGAGGAACUAUCUCUUCUCUCGCCUCCAUCCUGGAAGGUCAGAGACGUUUACAUCUCAAUCACUUCACAUUUCCAUGCUGACCGACUCAAUGAAGGACUUCAUGAUUGAAGAUGAGUGAGUAGAAUGAGCUUCAAUCACCAGGUGACCAAAACGCAGGGAGUUUAAAGGUCAGGGACACUUGUCCCUUAGCUCUGGUUAAUACCUGCUGGAUGAUAGACUCCAGUCUGCUACUGUGGCUUCAUUGAGCCAAAAACAAUUACGUUUCAGUUCUGGUGUUCAAAUGUCUUUAAUAUUUAAUACAAUAUCAGACGGUAAGUUCCCACAAGGUAAGCAGUGUCCGAGUGGAGUUCAAACUCAAAGCGGAUCACCACAAAAGGCAGGUCGGUGCUGUUUCAUACUAUCUUUUCCAAACUGCCUCCCACCCUGCUCCUCCUACCCCCACCCUCACUCCUCAUUCAGCAGCUAAUCUUGUCCUCCUCCUUUUUUCUUUGUCCCCGGCUGCUCGUCUCAGACAGGGAAAUCCUUCGUCUUCCAACAAAGACUCACCGCAUGCACUAAUCAGGUCUGGAGCUAGACCUGUCUGUGUGUGUGUGUGUGUGUGUGUGUGUGUGUGUGUGUGUGUGUGUGUGUGUGUGUGUGUGUGUGUGUGUGUGUGUGUGUGUUCACAUGACACAUACUCAGGAAGUGAGCAUGGCUUAUCAUGGAAUUUAUUGUGUGAGAACGACAGAAAGAGGAAGACAGUGAGAUAGUGUCUGCGUUCACCACUGCAUUGCAACAUCUGAAAGUUGGCGAAUGAUGCGCAGGAAGACUCUUCGUGUUUGUGAGAGAGAGAGAGAGAGAGGAACUGGGUAUUUAGUAUGAGAAGCGAUAGGUACCAUGACUACACACACAAACAGGAAAACAAACACUCAGAAUAAAGUUUUGUGGAAUCUAAAGAACCAGGUAUCUCACCUUUAAGUACUUGUAUUCCCCAUUUACACCUGGUAUUAACAUGUGAUGCAACCAAAUGUCAAUGCAGGUGAAGUGCAUGAAGAAAACACAUCAAUCUGCCCAACAAGUGAAAGGUCAGCUAAAUCUCUGCUGGCUCAAGCUGCGCAGCAAGAAGCUACAGACGAGCCCUUCCUCUGCAAACAAUGAAGGUCGUGCAUGCUUAUGAUUUCCAGGGCAUGCCACAUAUCCAGAUUACACCCCUACCAAUACAUUGGCAUGUUGAAUAUUAUGAACCAAUCUUGCCAAAGGUAUGUUUGAGGUCGUGUCUCCAUCACAUAAGAUAUGGGAUGUUAUGAAAAAGUGAAAUAGUUGCUGUAAAUUGGGUCUAAACGCACCACAAUCAACAUCAUAGCACGAUGACAGGAAGUUACAUCUGGAUCUUGUUCUUCAAUAGGCCAAGCUUUGUUCUGGUAGAUUAUAAAUACAAGUGUGUGAAGGUGAAAGUGUGCGUCAACAAUCGACUGUUGAACGUUUUCAAAUGUUUAUCUUCAGAGGUGUUCACUGCUGCGUGACGCACAACGCAGUGCAAAGGCAAGACAAUGCCGUGUGAAAGCCAAACGUCAUGAAGUCAAAAAGCCGAAAAAAGCCAAACAGCACGAAGACGAAGAGACGUUUAGUGAUGAAGAAGAAAUUAUUUCGAAGGCUCUGGGCUGCAGCAGAGCUUUGAGAUAAGCAGAGACUAAACAGGAGGAGCUUCCAGGCUCCUGCUCACAGAUAACAACCACAUGCUUCCGUCUCUUAUCACACUGAUUCUAUCUGUACAGGGGCAAGACCAGAGCAGUGCACACACACACACACACGCACACACACACACACACACACACACACACACACACGCACGCACACACCAUGCAAUGCCUUGGACAGCUCAUUCAGUACAUGCUGUUCUCUUGCAAACACUGUCCUGUCCAUGCUGUGGGUUAUGGGGGAUGUCUCAGUAUCAGAAAGAUAACUGACAGCUUUACAUGAGACGUAAUUGUUGAUACAACAAUGUAUCAUGUUGUUGUUAUUUGAUGUUGGGAUACAAUCUGACGUCUCUGCCCUGAAACGCCUCACAUGCAACCAAUAACCUCACAUACAGAAUAGCGUUCAUCCCCUGAAUGAUUUGCUGCAAAGGUCAGAUGAAAGAGGAGAGACAGGUGUGUGAGUGCUGGAGAGAAGUCAGGAGUGGUGGGGCAGUUACUCCAAAAACUUUAGCAUAUCCAUAGUUGUCCAAAUCUCUGUCAGCUCCCAAACACGACAAGCUGCACCGCGGUGAAGUAUGAGGUGGAAAAACACACAUGAAUUGUAAUAUGACAGAUUUAGGACCACAUAUGAAAGUGGCCCAGAGCUGAUUGGAAAAAAUCUGAUCUGUGUCACAUGUGAGGAAAAGAAAUGGGCAGAUUUGGGCCAAAUCUGCUUGUAGUGUGAACACAGCCACACGGCUGAAGUCAACCUGGCGGCUGUAUGACACGCGUGACCCGUCAGCACUGGCCACUGUCCCCAGGAAUAUAUAAAGCACUUGUUGAGCUUCAGUGUAAGUGACACAUCUUUAUUAAAGAACAGCACUUUCUCAUGUAUUUACGUAGCUGAGGUGGAGAUUCAGACCUCUCCAGCCCACAGUGAGAUCUCGUCUCCACCGCCCAUCCACACGCUAUUCAUACGUUAAUCCAAGAACAAUUCACACCUCCAACCUGAGGAGCACACAGGCAGACACAAACAAACAGACACAGACAAGUAGGCGCGCAUGUUUCCUGUGUUGCGCAAACUUGUCUCGUUCUUACAUCCACGCUUAUGUGUGCACAAACUCAUUUCCUGUCUUGUAAAGAGCAGUUGCUUUGUGGACUCGUAUGACACUAUGUUCUAAAUAUUUAAAGAUUUUCAAGUUAUUAUGAUUUUUAUGUCAUGUGUAUGUUUUGAAACAGAUAUCUUUUUUAUCAUGACAGUGGGGACUAUUUACUAAGUUGCAGUUUUGGGUUUUUUAAUAUUAUAAUAUAUGCAUUGUCAGAGUGAUAUAGAAACGCAUUUACAGGGAGGUUCCCUCCAGCUGUUUCGUGACAGCCCCAGACACACACGCAGACACACACACUGGGCUCAGCUCUGGGAAGACAAUGGUGGCUCCAGUGUUAUCAACAGCUCCAUCACAUUGUCUCUGCUCUGCAUCGCCUCACUGCUGUCCUGCUACUGUAUCUGUGUGUGUUACAACAGACAUGAGUGGCUGGGGAUUGUUUAGAGGGCUUGGUCAGCUUCAAUAAAGGGUCACGCUCACAUGCUGUGUGUGUGUGUGUGUGUGUGUGUGUGUGUGUGUGUGUGUGUGUGUGUGUGUGUG